rnacentral:rRNA from 1 species
ACCAGACUCCUACGGGAGGCAGCAGUGGGGGAUAUUGCACAAUGGGGGGAACCCUGAUGCAGCGACGCCGCGUGGGUGAAGAAGCGCCUCGGCGCGUAAAGCCCUGUCAGCAGGGAAGAAAAUGACGGUACCUGAAGAAGAAGCCCCGGCUAACUACGUGCCAGCAGCCGCGGUAAUACGUAGGGGGCAAGCGUUAUCCGGAUUUACUGGGUGUAAAGGGGGCGCAGACGGCGAUGCAAGCCAGGAGUGAAAGCCCGGGGCCCAACCCCGGGACUGCUCUUGGAACUGCGUGGCUGGAGUGCAGGAGGGGCAGGCGGAAUUCCUGGUGUAGCGGUGAAAUGCGUAGAUAUCAGGAGGAACACCGGUGGCGAAGGCGGCCUGCUGGACUGCAACUGACGUUGAGGCUCGAAGGCGUGGGGAGCAAACAGGAUUAGAUACCCUUGUAA